rnacentral:lncRNA from 1 species
GGGCCUCUCCACAGAGCAUCUCACAGUGGGGCAGUUGGUCUUCCUCAGAGUAAGUAAGGAAGAAAGAAAGAGAGUGAGCAAGAUGGAAGCCAGAAUUCUUCAGUAACUUAAUCUCAGAAAUGACAUCUCAGUUGUUUUGCUGUGUUCGUUUGGUUACAAGAGAGUCAGGUGGGAAGAGAGAUCAGCAACGUUAACUGGGUGUCAAGAAAACAUACCGAGAUUGAAGCCAUCCACUUCUGCAGGAACACCGAAAAGAAAGCUUACAAUCUGAAGGUGUCCGUUCCUACACUGGUCAGACCACUGUCCUUGGGGCAGCUGGGGUCUUUGGGACCCUCCACCGGGC